rnacentral:lncRNA from 1 species
CCAGAACUCAUAGAGCGGGAAAAGGAACAAGGUCCACAUAUCAGGCUCCCAGAUUGUUCUGUUUUUUUGUGCACAUACACUAUCCAAACCCUACUCCUUACUGAUAACCUAACAUUCCAUCCCCUAAAAUCACACCCGGCACUUGAUCGCAUGCGCACGUGAACAGCGUCUCCUGGAAUGGCGUUCAAUACAAAAGCACAGUUUGGACUUUUGGAAGGAAGAAGUAAUAUCUCGCAGACAUCUCUGGGCUGGUGAGGGGUUGGAAUCACUCUCCCACGAACCAAGGAUCCUUACAAGAGACAGAGGUGGGGCGCGCGCACGCGCUGGUUGUUAAAGAUGCCCUCCCUGGCCCGCUUUCCCAGUUUCUUGAGUUACUCGCCGCCCGCAAGGCUUCGAUGUGCUCAGACGGCGUCAUCUCCUCUGUGACGACCGACCCCGGGCAUCCCCGUUUCCUUCUGCUAAAGUCCCUCCAGACCCGGUGCCGUUGCCUGUCUGCCCUGCUGUCCUCAGCGGUCACCCUGAACGGGGGUCUCUGAGGGGUCCCCGGGAGGCAGUGCGGUGUGGCAGGACAGGCCCAGCACUGGGGGCUCGUCCUGACUCUGCUCUGUGCUGCCGCCGGGCUCCCAGCGGGUCCCUCGGCUCCCCCGGCCUCCAUCUCUCCCUGAAGAGCCGGCGUCCUCUGCUCCUCUCUGCUCUGAGGCUGUUUUCCUAGGAGCCACCUGAAGUCUCCCGCAUUUACCGAUCACUGCGUCCUGCUAACUCAAAUCUCCUCCACCAGACGAUUUCUCCCCAGGGCUGCGCUGCCACGGGAAGCGCCCGCACACGGAGCCAGGACCUCAGGAGCAGGCGGCCUCGUAGGCAGCUCUUGAAUGCAAGACCACAGACCGCUCACGCGAGCCGUGGGAUGCUGUGCGACGCUGCACUUUCUUACUUUCUCUGCUGCCUCUUUCUCCUUUUUCAAUCUUUCUCAUCUGGCCCUUCCAUUGUUAUUCACCCUGUUUAUUGCUUCAAGCAACCCUGACACGCUGGACAUCAUCUGAAACUACAAACGACAGGAAGCAAUAAGCUGCAGAAUACCAGCAAUCUGAGGAAAGUUCUUCAUUCACUCCUGCUCCUAACUCUCUGUCUUCUUAUCCUACAUAGAAAAUAAAAAAAUCAAUACCACCUCACAGGGCUUGAUAAAAGUGCCGGCCGAGUACAGCAGGCGUGCUGGAUAUAGUAAAUUAAAGUGAUC